AUGCUGGCUACAGUCUACAGGUGUAGAGGAUACAGGAAGCAUCUCACUCCUGAAGAGCCCAGGAAAGCAUUUAUAGGCAUCCUGGGUAUCUGCUAUUACGGCUCCUUGGAUUCUGUUAGCUCGAUGUCCUGGGAGAUGACUGAGGUUCCCACAGACCAAACUGUGGCACAGCACCAGACAGGUAACAAUACUGAGGUUUUCUCUGUGUCCGUGUGAGGAGAGCAACGGCUCACCCCGAAAUGGAAUGCCCGACGUCUCAGAACUCCUUCAUGCUGCUGGGUCACUGCCACUUCUGUCUUCCUCCAAAAUACCACCUCGUACCUAGAGCAUGGCACCACUAAGCACGGGUAAGAGGGGAGAAGGCAGUGAAGGUGUGUAUGGCACAGUUCCUGCCUCCAGGAGCACACAGUCUCCUGAAAGAAAAGAGAAGCGCAGGAUGUUGAAAUGGGACUCUUGUCUCUCUUUUUGGCUGAGGCACCAAGUCAAUAGAUACAACAGCAAUGACAUUGCAAAGUGAGG
rnacentral:lncRNA from 1 species